AUUGAACGCUGGCGGCAUGCCUUACACAUGCAAGUCGAACGGUAACGCGGGGCAACCUGGCGACGAGUGGCGAACGGGUGAGUAAUAUAUCGGAACGUGCCCAGUAGUGGGGGAUAGCCCGGCGAAAGCCGGAUUAAUACCGCAUACGACCUAAGGGUGAAAGCGGGGGAUCGCAAGACCUCGCGCUAUUGGAGCGGCCGAUAUCAGAUUAGGUAGUUGGUGGGGUAAAGGCCUACCAAGCCGACGAUCUGUAGCUGGUCUGAGAGGACGACCAGCCACACUGGGACUGAGACACGGCCCAGACUCCUACGGGAGGCAGCAGUGGGGAAUUUUGGACAAUGGGCGCAAGCCUGAUCCAGCCAUGCCGCGUGCGGGAAGAAGGCCUUCGGUUGUAAACCGCUUUGUCAGGAGAAAUACUUCUGGGUUAAUACCUCGGGAGGAUGACGGUACCUGAAGAAUAAGACACCGGCUAACUACGUGCCAGCAGCCGCGGUAA
rnacentral:rRNA from 1 species